ACUGGUGAAUGCUCUCAGCAUCUCUCUUUAGCCAAGCAGCAUUCAGCAGGAUAUUUUCACAACACUGCUGGAUGGUGCGCUCAGCUGAAGGAGCUGGGUGGCUCUCGAAGAAAGCCUGGUAUAACACAACCCAGAAGGGCUCUGUGCUCCUGUCUAAAGCACACUCCUUCGUUGGGUCCCGACUCCUCUCCAUCGCUUGGCCAUCGCUCCAGGAAUUACCCCCCGUCUCUUUCACAUCACGGAUUUUUCUAUUACUACUCUAGCAUUGUCAUCAGCACAAAAACAUGUUACAAAAUCUCCCUCUUUAUUAAAAAAAAAAAAAUAUAUGCCUCCACUGACUCUACAUCUCUCCCCAGACUAUCCCCUUUUCUCUGAUUGCCUUUUCAGCCAAAACUCCUUGAAGAAGUUGUCUGAAUGUGGGGCGCCUGGGGGGUGGCUCAGUCGGUUAAGCGUCUGACUUCGGCUCGGGUCAUAUCUCACGUUCAAGCCCCACAUCCAGCUCUGUGCUGACAGCUCAGAGCCUGGAGCCUGCUUCCAAUUCCGUGUCUCCCUCUCUCUCUCUGCCCCUCCCUUGCUCAUGCUCUGUCUCUCUCUCCCAAAAAUAAACAUUAAAACUUAAAAAAAAAAAAAA